UACAGAGGGUGCAAGCGUUGUUCGGAAUUAUUGGGCGUAAAGGGCGCGUAGGCGGUGCGGUAAGUCUGUAGUGAAAUCUCUGGGCUCAACUCAGAGUCUGCUGCAGAAACUGCCGUGCUUGAGUGUGGGGAGAGGUGAGUGGAAAUUCCCCGGUGUAGCGGUGAAAUGCGUAGAUAUCGGGGAGGAACACCUGUGGCGAAAAGCGGCUCAC
rnacentral:rRNA from 1 species